rnacentral:rRNA from 1 species
UACGAAGGGGGCUAGCGUUGCUCGGAUUGACUGGGCGUAAAGGGCGCGUAGGCGGUUUGUACAGUCAGACGUGAAAUUCCUGGGCUCAACCUGGGGGCUGCGUUUGAUACGUGCGGACUUGAGUGCGGAAGAGGGUCGUGGAAUUCCCAGUGUAGAGGUGAAAUUCGUAGAUAUUGGGAAGAACACCGGUGGCGAAGGCGGCGACCUGGUCCGAUACUGACGCUGAGGCGCGAAAGCGUGGGGAGCAAACAGG